AGUAGUUUGAUCAUGGCUCAGAAUGAACGCUGGCGGCAGGCCUAACACAUGCAAGUCGAACGGAUCCUUCGGGAUUAGUGGCGGACGGGUGAGUAACGCGUGGGAACAUACCCUUUGGUACGGAAUAGCCUCGGGAAACUGGGAGUAAUACCGUAUGUGCUCUUCGGAGGAAAGAUUUAUCGCCAAAGGAUUGGCCCGCGUUGGAUUAGGUAGUUGGUGGGGUAAUGGCCUACCAAGCCGACGAUCCAUAGCUGGUUUGAGAGGAUGAUCAGCCACACUGGGACUGAGACACGGCCCAGACUCCUACGGGAGGCAGCAGUGGGGAAUCUUAGACAAUGGGGGAAACCCUGAUCUAGCCAUGCCGCGUGAUCGAUGAAGGCCUUAGGGUUGUAAAGAUCUUUCAGUGGGGAAGAUAAUGACGGUACCCACAGAAGAAGCCCCGGCUAACUCCGUG
rnacentral:rRNA from 1 species